rnacentral:ncRNA from 1 species
AGCCUGUGGCUUAAUUUGACUCAACACUGGAAACCUCACCCACACUGGACAUGGACAGGAUUGACAGCUCUUUCCCAAUUCUGUGCAUGGUGGUACGCGGCUGUUAUUUUGUGGAGCAAUCUGCCUGGUUAAUUCCUAUAAUGAACAAGACUCUGGCAUGCUAACUAGUUAUAUGACCCCUAAGCUAGGAGCACCCAAAUACACAAAGCAGUUAAUAGCAAACAUAAAGGAACUAAUGAAUAAUACAAUAGCAGUAGGGGACUUUACAUAACACAUCAAUGGACAGAUCAUAUAAACAGAAAAUCAAUAAGGAAACAAUGGCUUGGCUUUCAAAGACAUAAUGGAACAGAUGGAUU